GGCUAUAGCUCAGUUGGUAGAGUGCCUGCUUUGCAUGCACAAGGUUCUGGGUUCAAUCCCCAGUACCA
rnacentral:tRNA from 1 species